AGGCAGCUAGUUAAACUAUAACAUUUGCUUUCGGCGCAAAAAUUUGUGGUUAAAGUCCCCAGCUGCUAA
rnacentral:tRNA from 1 species